UAUGUAGUUUUGUGUAUUUUUUUUGACUUUUGAGUCCCUUAUAGUUAAGUAAAGUCUCUAUGGUAAAUAUAUUAUAAGUGAAUAGCUAUAAAAGUGCAUUUGCCGUGCCAUAAAGCAAACUGUUCUUUUCGAUUUUUUGAAACUGAUAUUUCAAGGUAAAAAAAAAAAAAAAACUAAAAAAAAACUAAACAUACAGUUUAAGUAAUCUAUUUUAGAUAACGUUGCAUAGAAACAAAACAAACUCAGACUGGACAUGUUGGGUAGAUCUAAGAAGAACCGAAUUUUACCAAAGUGAGAAGCCUUCAAGAAAUAAUAAUUCAAAUGCAACAAGCAACAUUUCAGUUUAAUUCUGUUACAUCACACACUUGUCAUGCUUUCAGAAUGUCAUUAUCUCUUGUUGAAUGCAUCAGUCUGAAAGUGUGUGUCUGAUUGAAGGAGGAAGAGUGUGUUACUCCUGAGAAGUUUGCUUACUGGGAGAAGGUUGGCCAGAUGGGCUUUGUCUACACAGCCAGUGGGCCACUUGUGCGCUUCUCUCACAAACAGGUGAAUUCUUUUUGAAGAAUCUGCUGAAAAGAAGCGGAAGACUAACUAGUGAAACUAGUGAACAUCACCUGUCUACAGUAUAAAAACUACUAAUAGGAUGGUACAAAAAUGAAAAUUCCAUAAUAAUUCACUUUCCCUCAUGUCAUAUUUCUUCAGCAAAUAAUAAUACAGGUUUGGAACAACAUGUAAAUGAUGCCUGAAUUUAAAUUUUUUGGGUGAACUGUCCCUUUAAGUAUACAUUUUAAACAAGUAUGUUGCUGUAACUCGUAAUGUUGUUUUAAAUAAAUUGAAUUAAAGAUCUGUAUGUGUAUCAUUGAAGUAAUACCAAUAGAAUAUAUUCAAUUCAAACUGGUCAAAGAUCAUGUUAAUUGUGUAUUUUUGUUUCAGCCAUGGUUGGCUUCCAUGUUUAAGCCUGCGAAAUGAGUAUCCAAAACUGCUUCAUUUCAUUGGUCCAGAUUUAUUUAAGAAAUACAUUUUCUUCAAUCAUUAUUCAUGAUCAUUAUAAACCUGUACAGUAAGAGAUGAUUUUAUAAAAGCUACAACUGUGACUCUACAAUAACAUACACAGUGCAGGCUGAACAAUACAUAUCAGAGGAUUAAUAAAUGAGUGACACAAACAGCUAUUUGAUAUCACAGGCCAAAUUUAAAGCAACAGGCUUUUUUUAUGUCCAAUUGGUCCUAGUAUUUAAAAGUUGCCAUUCUUUCUGUUCUGCUCCCUCAAACAUUGCUCUCAAAUAAGUAGAUGAUUUUGUCAUUAAAAUCUAGAACACUGAUUACUGUAAACAAUAAUAUACUACUAUACAACAGUACUGGGAUGUUAAUUAGUUUUGUGUACAGUUAAUAUACGUUUCAAAAAAAUUCCGAAAUGGUACAGACAUAAAAACAUUCUAAAAAGUACUGGGAUGUUAAUUAGUUUUGUGUACAGUUAAUAUACGUUU